rnacentral:rRNA from 1 species
CCUACGGGAGGCAGCAGUAGGGAAUCUUCCACAAUGAGCGAAAGCUUGAUGGAGCGACACCGCGUGCAUGAUGAAGGUCUUCGGAUCGUAAAGUGCUGUUAUAAGGGAAGAACAUUCGCAAUAGGAACUGAUUGCAGUUUGACGGUACCUUGUCAGAAAGCGACGGCUAACUAUGUGCCAGCAGCCGCGGUAAUACCUAGGUGGCAAGCGUUAUCCGGAUUUAUUGGGCGUAAAGGGAUCGUAGGCUGUCUUUUAAGUUUGAUGUGAAAUCCUUGGGCUUAAACGGGGCUGGGCAUUGGAAACUGGGAGACUUGAGUGCAGAAGAGGAGAGUGGAACUCCAUGUGUAGCGGUGAAAUGCGUAGAUAUAUGGAAGAACACCAGUGGCGAAAGCAGCUCUCUGGUCUGUAACUGACGCUGAGGUUCGAAAGCGUGGGUAGCAAACAGGAUUAGAUACCCUUGUAGUC